rnacentral:rRNA from 1 species
CGCGUAGGCGGCGUUGUAAGUCGGAUGUGAAAGCCCUGGGCUUAACCUGGGGACUGCAUUCGAUACUGCGAUGCUAGAGUAUGGUAGAGGAUAGCGGAAUUCCCGGUGUAGCGGUGAAAUGCGUAGAGAUCGGGAGGAACAUCAGUGGCGAAGGCGGCUGUCUGGACCAAUACUGACGCUGAGGCGCGAAAGCGUGGGUAGCAAACA